UACGGGGGGUGCGAGCGUUGUCCGGAAUCACUGGGCGUAAAGGGCGCGUAGGUGGUUUGAUAAGGGUGUGGUGAAGGCCCGGGGCUCAACCCCGGGUCUGCCGUGCCGACUGUCAAACUCGAGGGCUGUAGAGGCAGACGGAAUUCCGGGUGUAGCGGUGGAAUGCGUAGAGAUCCGGAGGAAGACCGGUGGCGAAGGCGGUCUGCUGGGCAGUUUCUGACACUGAUGCGCGACAGCGUGGGGAGCAAACAGG
rnacentral:rRNA from 1 species